CCUACGGGAGGCAGCAGUGAGGAAUAUUGGUCAAUGGCCGGAAGGCUGAACCAGCCAUGCAGCGUGAAGGUCAGUGCCCUAUGGGCGUUAAACUUCUUUUGUGCUGGAGCAAUAAGGGUCACGUUUGGCCAGACGAUAGUACUGUACGAAUAAGCAUCGGCUAAAUCCGUGACAGCAGCCGCGGUGAUAUGGGGGAUGCAAGCGUUUUCCGGAUUUAUUGGGUUUAAAGGGUGCGUAUGCUGUGAUGUAAGUCAGCGGUGAAAUGACCCCGCUCAACGGGGUGAAGUGCCAUUGAUACUGCCUGGCUGGAAUGCGGAUGCCGUGGGAGGAAUGUGUGGUGUAGCGGUGAAAUGCAUAGAUAUCACAAAGAACACCGAUUGCGAAGGCAUCUCACGAAUCCGCGAUUGACGCUGAUGCACGAAAGCGUGGGUAUCAAACAGGAUUAGAUACCCGGGUAGUC
rnacentral:rRNA from 1 species